rnacentral:rRNA from 1 species
CCUACGGGAGGCAGCAGUGAGGAAUAUUGGACAAUGGGCGCAAGCCUGAUCCAGCCAUGCCGCGUGCAGGAAGACGCAUCUAUGGUGUGUAAACUGCUUUUGUACGGGAAGAAACACUCCCUCGUGAGGGAGCUUGACGGUACCGUAAGAAUAAGGAUCGGCUAACUCCGUGCCAGCAGCCGCGGUAAUACGGAGGAUCCAAGCGUUAUCCGGAAUCAUUGGGUUUAAAGGGUCCGUAGGCGGUUUAAUAAGUCAGUGGUGAAAGCCCAUCGCUCAACGAUGGAACGGCCAUUGAUACUGUUAGACUUGAAUUACUAGGAAGUAACUAGAAUAUGUAGUGUAGCGGUGAAAUGCUUAGAUAUUACAUGGAAUACCAAUUGCGAAGGCAGGUUACUACUAGUGGAUUGACGCUGAUGGACGAAAGCGUGGGGAGCGAACAGGAUUAGAUACCCUGGUAGUCCACGCCGUAAACGAUGGAUACUAGCUGUUGGGCGCAAGUUCAGUGGCUAAGCGAAAGUGAUAAGUAUCCCACCNGGAGUAGUGNAGANAGANANANAGAUGNGNGNGAGAGNGCGAGNGANAGAGGAGAG